rnacentral:rRNA from 1 species
AUUGAACGCUGGCGGCAGGCCUAACACAUGCAAGUCGAACGGUAACAGGAAGCAGCUUGCUGCUUCGCUGACGAGUGGCGGACGGGUGAGUAAUGUCUGGGAAACUGCCUGAUGGAGGGGGAUAACUACUGGAAACGGUAGCUAAUACCGCAUAACGUCGCAAGACCAAAGAGGGGGACCUUAGGGCCUCUUGCCAUCGGAUGUGCCCAGUUGGGAUUAGCUAGUAGGUGGGGUAACGGCUCACCUAGGCGACGAUCCCUAGCUGGUCUGAGAGGAUGACCAGCCACACUGGAACUGAGACACGGUCCAGACUCCUACGGGAGGCAGCAGUGGGGAAUAUUGCACAAUGGGCGCAAGCCUGAUGCAGCCAUGCCGCGUGUAUGAAGAAGGCCUCCGGGUUGUAAAGUACUUUCAGCGGGGAGGAAGGGAGUAAAGUUAAUACCUUUGCUCAUUGACGUUACCCGCAGAAGAAGCACCGGCUAACUCCGUG